rnacentral:rRNA from 1 species
UACGAAGGGGGCUAGCGUUGUUCGGAAUUACUGGGCGUAAAGCGCGCGCAGGCGGUUUUCAAGUCAGUGGUGAAAGCCCGGAGCUCAACUCCGGAACUGCCAUUGAAACUGCGAAACUUGAGGACGAGAGAGGUGAGUGGAAUUCCCAGUGUAGAGGUGAAAUUCGUAGAUAUUGGGAAGAACACCGGUGGCGAAGGCGGCUCACUGGCUCGUUUCUGACGCUCAGGCGCGACAGCGUGGGGAUCAAACAGG